AUUAAUAUUACACUGCAUGUUAACUUUACUGGAAUUAAAAUUUAAAAAAUACAUAUACAAGGGGAUUCAAACACAAUCCCAGUGAAAAAAUGACCUAUUCGAGUCAUGGAACAAGAUUUUCCAUUUUCAAUAGCUGCCUAUGAAAAAAAUCUUGCUCCAGUUCCUAAAAUGAGAAAAAGCAAAAAAUAAAAUCGAAUGAAUGAAUGAAUGAAUUAGUAAAUAAAUCAAUACAUAUUGUUGUCAGUUGAACCAUCAUCUCUUGAUUUGUAUUUUUACAGACACCCGCUCAAGAGGAGAUCACGUCUCUAUUCAAGGGUCUUGUCCCUGGAGCUUUGCAGGUGUCCAGGUAAUGUGUCCCUAAUCCAGAUAACGAUCAUGGGAUUUUGCAGUUAUCCAAGCAAGAGACGACAUGCCCCUGCCAUGAUCUUGAUUCCCCUGCACAUGUCUAGGUAUCCAGACUUUUAAGGUAUUCUGGGAAGAGAUGAUGAUGGUCCUAACCACACUAAUGACGACAGAAAUUUGCACAUAUCCACUCAAGAGACGAUGGCAUCUCCGUCAACAUUGGUGGCUGUGGAGGUGGAAGAAAUGGAAUGCUUUUUUUUUUUUUUUUGAAACUAUAUAAUUUGUUAAAAGAAUUUUGACAUUCAAUGACUAGUAAAUGUUAUUCGAAAUUGUA